rnacentral:rRNA from 1 species
GACGAACGCUGGCGGCGUGCUUAACACAUGCAAGUCGAACGGAAAGGCCUGCUUUCCCUUGUGGAUUGCGGGUACUCGAGUGGCGAACGGGUGAGUAACACGUGAGUGAUCUGCCCCAACUUGGGUAUAAGCCUGGGAAACUGGGUCUAAUUCCCGAUAGGACUGCAGGGUGGUGCCUGUGGUGGAAAACGAUUUUCUAGUGGUUGGGGAUGAGCUCGCGGCCUAUCAGCUUGUUGGUGGGGUAAUGGCCUACCAAGGCGGCGACGGGUAGCCGGCCUGAGAGGGUGGACGGCCACAUUGGGACUGAGAUACGGCCCAGACUCCUACGGGAGGCAGCAGUGGGGAAUAUUGCACAAUGGGCGGAAGCCUGAUGCAGCGACGCCGCGUGGGGGAUGACGGCCUUCGGGUUGUAAACUCCUUUCGACCGCGAGGAAGCCACCUGGUUGGAAGGGUGGUGACGGUAGUGGUAGAAGAAGCACCGGCUAACUACGUG